AGUGAACGCUGGCGGUAGGCCUAACACAUGCAAGUCGAACGGCAGCACGGUAAGAGCUUGCUCUUACGGGUGGCGAGUGGCGGACGGGUGAGGAAUACAUCGGAAUCUACUUUUUCGUGGGGGAUAACGUAGGGAAACUUACGCUAAUACCGCAUACGACCUACGGGUGAAAGCAGGGGAUCUUCGGACCUUGCGCGAUUGAAUGAGCCGAUGUCGGAUUAGCUAGUUGGCGGGGUAAAGGCCCACCAAGGCGACGAUCCGUAGCUGGUCUGAGAGGAUGAUCAGCCACACUGGAACUGAGACACGGUCCAGACUCCUACGGGAAGCAGCAGUGCGGAAUAUUGGACAAUGGGCGCAAGCCUGAUCCAGCCAUACCGCGUGGGUGAAGAAGGCCUUCGGGUUGUAAAGCCCUUUUGUUGGGAAAGAAAAGCAGCAGGUUAAUACCCCGCUGUUCUGACGGUACCCAAAGAAUAAGCACCGGCUAACUUCGUG
rnacentral:rRNA from 1 species